UACAGAGGUGGCGAGCGUUGUUCGGAUUUACUGGGCGUAAAGGGUGCGUAGGUGGUUUCAUGUGUCGGGCGUUAAAGCCCACUGCUCAACGGUGGAAGGCCGUCCGAAACUAUGAGACUAGAGUGCAGGAGAGGAGAGCGGAAUUCUUGGUGUAGCGGUGGAAUGCGUUGAUAUCAAGAAGAACACCAGUGGCGUAGGCGGCUCUCUGGAAUGUUACUGACACUGAGGCACGAAAGUUGGGGGAGCAAACAGGAUUAGAUACCCUGGUAGUCCCAACCCUAAACGGUGCACACUUGGUGUAGGAGGAAUUGACCCCUUCUGUGCCGGAGCUAACGCGUUAAGUGUGCCGCCUGGGGAGUACGGUCGCAAGAUUA
rnacentral:rRNA from 1 species